GUGGGGAAUCUUAGACAAUGGGCGCAAGCCUGAUCUAGCCAUGCCGCGUGAGCGAUGAAGGCCUUAGGGUUGUAAAGCUCUUUCAGCUGGGAAGAUAAUGACGGUACCAGCAGAAGAAGCCCCGGCUAACUCCGUGCCAGCAGCCGCGGUAAUACGGAGGGGGCUAGCGUUGUUCGGAAUUACUGGGCGUAAAGCGCACGUAGGCGGAUCAGAAAGUCAGAGGUGAAAUCCCAGGGCUCAACCUUGGAACUGCCUUUGAAACUCCUGGUCUUGAGGUCGAGAGAGGUGAGUGGAAUUCCGAGUGUAGAGGUGAAAUUCGUAGAUAUUCGGAGGAACACCAGUGGCGAAGGCGGCUCACUGGCUCGAUACUGACGCUGAGGUGCGAAAGCGUGGGGAGCAAACAGGAUUAGAUACCCCGGUAGUCC
rnacentral:rRNA from 1 species